GGGGGAAUAGUUUAAUGGUAGAACAGCGGCCUCCAAAUCCGCCAGUGAGGGUUCGAUUCCUUCUUCCCCUG
rnacentral:tRNA from 1 species